GGGCGUGCUAAUCUGCGAUAAGCGCCGGUAAGGUGAUAUGAACCGUUAUAACCGGCGAUACCCGAAUGGGGAAACCCAGUGUGAUUCGUCACACUAUCAUUAACUGAAUCCAUAGGUUAAUGAGGCGAACCGGGGGAACUGAAACAUCUAAGUACCCCGAGGAAAAGAAAUCAACCGAGAUUCCCCCAGUAGCGGCGAGCGAACGGGGAGGAGCCCAGAGCCUGAAUCAGCAUGUGUGUUAGUGGAAGCGUCUGGAAAGGCGCGCGAUACAGGGUGACAGCCCCGUACACAAAAGCGCAUGUGCUGUGAGCUCGAUGAGUAGGGCGGGACACGUGGUAUCCUGUCUGAAUAUGGGGGGACCAUCCUCCAAGGCUAAAUACUCCUGACUGACCGAUAGUGAACCAGUACCGUGAGGGAAAGGCGAAAAGAACCCCGGCGAGGGGAGUGAAAAAGAACCUGAAACCGU
rnacentral:rRNA from 2 species